UUUCUCUCCCUCUCAUUCCGGUCGAAGAGAAAAUAAAACACUUCGAAGACGAACAACCAAUAUUGAAUCGAUCGAGCAGAAGCAGUUUCACAAAACACAUACGAUUUUCUAUUCAGCGCUCUCUUAGUCUCACAUCGAGUCCAAAUUUAUUAAGAGAUUCAGGCUGAAUAAUAAACUCUACAUCCAUCAGAUCAGAGAUGGAAGAGCCUCUAAUUGGACUUCUGUCACCCUAUGGGGCUGGUCCAUCAAAGAGUUCGAUGAAUGAAUCAAUGGAAGUGGUUACGGAUAUCAAUCAGGACAAUGGGUUCACAUUGCAUACCAUUUCAGCGAUGAAAUGUUCGAUGUGGAAGAGCUACUUGGGGAUGAAAUGUUCGAUGUGGAAGAGCUACUUGGGGUUCUAACUUCUCCCUAUUCUGGUCCACUGUCCAACUAUGACAAUGUGGGGCAUGAAAUGUUGGAAUUUAUAUAUAUAUAUUUAAAUAAUAAAAAUUAUUUUAUGGUCCUA